UACAGAGGGGGCAAGCGUUUGUCGGAAUUACUGGGCGUAAAGGGCGCGUAGGCGGCCUUCUAAGUCGGACGUGAAAGCCCCAGGCUUAACCUGGGAACUGCGUCCGAUACUGGAAGGCUUGGAUUCGGGAGAGGGAUGUGGAAUUCCAGGUGUAGCGGUGAAAUGCGUAGAUAUCUGGAGGAACACCGGUGGCGAAGGCGGCAUCCUGGACCGACAUCGACGCUGAGGCGCGAAAGCUAGGGGAGCAAACGGG
rnacentral:rRNA from 1 species